rnacentral:rRNA from 1 species
UACGUAGGGUGCGAGCGUUGUCCGGAAUUAUUGGGCGUAAAGAGCUUGUAGGCGGUCUGUCGCGUCUGCUGUGAAAAUCCGGGGCUCAACCCCGGACUUGCAGUGGGUACGGGCAGACUAGAGUGUGGUAGGGGAGACUGGAAUUCCUGGUGUAGCGGUGAAAUGCGCAGAUAUCAGGAGGAACACUGAUGGCGAAGGCAGGUCUCUGGGCCACUACUGACGCUGAGAAGCGAAAGCAUGGGGAGCGAACAGG